rnacentral:rRNA from 1 species
AGCGAACGUUAGCGGCGCGCCUAACACAUGCAAGUCGCACGAGAAAGGGAGCAAUCCCCGGUACAGUGGCGCACGGGUGAGUAACACGUAGAUGACCUUCCCUGGAGUGGUGGAUAACCUGCCGAAAGGCGGGCUAAUACAGCAUGGGACCACAUGGUUUUGACCGAGUGGUGAAAGCGGGCCUCUGUUCACAAGCUCGCGCUCUGGGAUGGGUCUGCGUCCCAUCAGCUAGUUGGUGAGGUAAUGGCUCACCAAGGCAUCGACGGGUAGCUGGUCUGAGAGGAUGACCAGCCACACUGGAACUGAGACACGGUCCAGACUCCUACGGGAGGCAGCAGUGGGGAAUCUUGCGCAAUGGGCGAAAGCCUGACGCAGCGACGCCGCGUGGGUGAUGAAGGCCUCGGUUGUUA